rnacentral:lncRNA from 1 species
GUAGAGAAGGCCAGGAGAGGGAAGAACCCUACUUCUCCAAGUUAGCAAGAAUUUAACAAAUUGGAUGUGUUUUUGGAUGGAAAUCGAAUGCAUGUGAUCAAUUCCUCAUUCAUCUAAGGGUUUCCAACAUGGGUCAUGUCAAUAAGGGCACAAACAUGGAAGCGCCACGGGUCGAAGGUAAACACGGAAGCUAUGUGUAAAUUCGGACGUACGAGGUAAGUAUUUCUCGGACUCCCUCUUUAGUAGUAAAGAGAUUCCUUACAUAAUAAUGUUAGUAGUUGUGUCGAAACGUGAAUUUGAUGAUAAUAUCAAGUAUUAGUACCAAGUGAGUGAUUAUCCGGAACCACUCCUUAAGGUAGUAAAGUACGGUUAUGUAAUAGUUAUUUAAGUAUGCUAUUGGAAAUUAGAAAGGUAUGGGUAUGUAGAAGUAAAGGUUUCCGCUAAGUCGAUCAAACGGGUCAAAAUGAGAGUUUACUCAUUUCAGUAUAAUUUGCAUAAGUGACGAUAAAGUAUAAUAAUUGUUAGAAGAUAAGUGAAUUUUGUUGUUGAUGAUAAUAUCAAGUAAGUAGUAUUAAGUAAGUGAUUUUUCCGGAAUCACUUCUUAGUUUAUUUAAGCAAGUUAAUGCGAUAAUUAUUUAAGUAUGAUAAUCGGAGUCUAAUAAGGUUUGGUUAUAUAGAAGUGAAGGUUUCCGUUAAGUAGACCAAACGGGUCAAAAUAAAGUAAAACGCAAACCGGGUAACGGGAGCGUAAAAUAAAUGAAUUAUGGAUUCGGGUAAUGGAUUACAGCUUAGAUAUGUUAAGAAAUGAACCCCAAGCGACUAAAAUAAGUUUGGACAGGGUUGGAUGUAAAAUGGGUGAAAAAUAAACGUGCAGAGUUGACACGGCCGGGUGAACACUUGACACGGCCGGGUGAAGGUUCUGUGAAAAAUAUAUGUUUACUUGACACGGCCGGGUGGACACUUGACACGGCCGGGUGAAGGGGCUGAAAAAGAAAGAAGAAAAAAAUAUAUAAUUUCUUGUGUUUAAUGCUUUUGUUCAAAUGCUUUGAUUUCUAAUCGUUUGAAUGAAAUUGCAUGAUAGGUAACGAUGUACUUUAGACCUCGGAGGUAUAAGGAAAUUUUACUAAUAAAAUUUCACUUCAUAUAGUUGAUUUAAAUGAAUGAGUUUAAUGUAUACUAGGAAUCGGGUUCAUAAACCCCAUGUACGAAACUCCGGAUAAUGUAAAACUUCUAUAGUUAUAAUGUUCAUAUGAGUAUUGAGUAUAAACAAAUGAGUUGUUUGGUAAAAACAUGAACGGGUUAAUAAUUAGUAAAUGAAUAUUAAGUCGAAAACAUAUAAGUCGUAAACAUGCGAAUGGAUGGGACUUGUUUAUAAGUAGGUCUAUUAUCGGAUGAUAUGAUAGUAUAAGUACAUGAGCAUAAUGUGGUAAGUAAGAGCUUGUAGGUGUGUGUGUAUGUAGGAAUGUAUGCGUGUAUAAAUGUAAUUUGCUAUGAAUGUAUGUGGUUAUGGUUUUCAAUAUAUAUGAGUAUCGAUGAAUACUAAUAAUGUGUCUUGAGAUUGGAAGGUAAUGCAGGAAUGAGAACGUCAGGUUCAUAAGGAAUUGAAGCCGAACGUGGAACAAGAGACUUAAAGAGGAUGAUUGAGUGAAUCCAAGCUUAUAUUGUGAAAUGUUAAAUGAUUUUCGACUAUAUAAAAUUAUGUUGUAUGGUGUUGCCAGUGACUAACGGUUAAGUUGUUUAUGAUGUUCACAAGAAUUACACGGAUCUCCUCUGUUGCUAACAAAGCCAAGCAGGCAUAGAUCGAGUCAAAGAGCAAGGAUUGUACGGAAAGAACGGUCACAUAGCUUUAAUUGUGUAACGCCUUAAAAUGAUACCUGGAAGUGGAUGUUGUAAAUUCAUUUUAGUAAAUGAUUAACAGUUUUGUAUUUGGGCCUUCAUGUAAGUAAUGUGUCUAAUAAAGAAAGAAAUUUUAAGGCUC